rnacentral:rRNA from 1 species
UACGAAGGGGGCUAGCGUUGCUCGGAAUCACUGGGCGUAAAGCGCACGUAGGCGGAUUGCUAAGUCAGGGGUGAAAUCCUGGAGCUCAACUCCAGAACUGCCUUUGAUACUGGCGAUCUCGAGUCCGGGAGAGGUGAGUGGAACUGCGAGUGUAGAGGUGAAAUUCGUAGAUAUUCGCAAGAACACCGGUGGCGAAGGCGGCAUCCUGGACCAACACUGACGCUGAGUGAGCGAAAGCCAGGGGAGCAAACGGG